rnacentral:rRNA from 1 species
GCAGUCGAGCGGACCGACGGGAGCUUGCUCCCUUAGGUCAGCGGCGGACGGGUGAGUAACACGUGGGUAACCUGCCUGUAAGACUGGGAUAACUUCCGGGAAACCGGGGCUAAUACCGGAAGCUUGAUUUGAACCGCAUGGUUCAAUCAUGAAAGGCGGCUUCGGCUUGCCGUUUACAGAUGGACCCGCGGCGCAUUAGCUAGUUGGUGAGGUAACGGCUCACCAAGGCGACGAUGCGUAGCCGACCUGAGAGGGUGAUCGGCCACACUGGGACCUAAGACACGGCCCAGACUCCUACGGGAGGCAGCAGUAGGGAAUCUUCCGCAAUGGACGAGAGUCUGACGGAGCAACGCCGCGUGAGUGAU